GCGGCGAGCGAACGGGGAGCAGCCCAGAGCCUGAAUCAGUGUGUGUGUUAGUGGAAGCGUCUGGAAAGGCGCGCGAUACAGGGUGACAGCCCCGUACACAAAAAUGCACAUGCUGUGAGCUCGAUGAGUAGGGCGGGACACGUGGUAUCCUGUCUGAAUAUGGGGGGACCAUCCUCCAAGGCUAAAUACUCCUGACUGACCGAUAGUGAACCAGUACCGUGAG
rnacentral:rRNA from 1 species